rnacentral:misc_RNA from 1 species
AGAAAGGAUAGGAUCUACUCCAGGUUUUUUUUUUUCAAUGUGUUGCAUGCUUAAUAUUUUGGGGAGAAUAAUGAUAAUUUUGUGAUUUUUUGACAUAAACAGAUAUCAGAUUUCUGUUGUGUAUUUUUGUGCUGCUUAUAUGGUAUCAGGAUUUCAAUUGCUUUCCAAUUCGUUCCUGUGUUUGGGGUUAUGAGGUGCUUCCAUGGCCAAAAUUUCGCAUUAAUUAGCAAGAUCGUAAGUUUUAGACACUAAUGAAUGUGGUAAAAUUUUUCAGCUGAGAGAAAAAGAAUCGGAUGAAGGUGCUCCAUCGGUUGUUUUAGGAAGAAGAAGAGAGAGCCCAGGAACUUGGAGCUAGCUGCGUAUUGGACAUGAAGGAAGCAAUCUGGUUAUAUUUCUUCUGCACAUCUCUUGUCAUUUGUAUAUUGAAAAAAAAAAAAAAAGAAAGAGUUAAGCAAUGACAUAUCUUAAAUGCUAAUUGUUAUGCCUCUGAAAAACAAACUUACAUACAUAAUAUUCCUCUGCAUGCUAAGUUCUGACAAUUCUGCAUAUGUUUCGCAACCUUGUUUUGGGAUAGACUUGUGGUUUACCUCAGUUUCUUAAUUGUGUCCUGUACAGUCUUUGAUAUUUAUUUAAUUUUUCGUUGAACAAGAGAACCUAUUCUUUUACACUGAGCACUGAGUUUAUAUUGCAGUUUUUUUUUUUUUUUUUUUUU